CAUAAAGUGAUCUUUCUCGGUUAUAAAUGCACUGACAAAGGAAUCUUGCCAGAUGACAAGAAAUAUGACGUCAUCAAAAACUAUCCAGAGCGCUAGACGAUUCGUAGCAUUUAGCAAUUAUUACAGGCGUUUUAUUAAAAACUUCGGCGACUAUUCCCGGCACAUAACUAAAUUAUGUAAAAAGAAUGUUCCAUUUGAGUAGUCAGAUGAAUGUCAAAAUGCAUUCCAAUACUUGAAAGAUAAACUAAUCGAGCCCACUCUGUUACAAUACCCAGAUUUUGAAAAAGAAUUUUGCAUAAUUACAGAUGCUAGUAAACAAGCAUGUGGUGCGGUUUUAACUCAAAACCAUAAUGGACUCCAUCUUCCAAUAGCAUAUGCAUCACGUUCAUUCAAAGGGUAAGAGCAAAAAAAGCACAACCGAACAGGAAUUGGCAGCAAUUCAUUAGGCAAUUACUCAUUUUCGACCAUAUAUUUAUGGAAAAAACUUCACAGUGAAAACGGAUCACAGACCACUAACAUACCUAUUUUCAAUGGUCAAUCCUAGCUCAAAACUGACACGCAUGCGGCUUGAAUUCGAAGAAUACGACUUUACAGUCGAGUACACAAAAGGAAUUAAAAAACAUAAACAUAUAUUGAAGACAAGUAGACAAAAAUUCUGCGCAGGAAAAGAAAAAAUAGAAUUGUCUAGGCAAU
rnacentral:lncRNA from 1 species